CCUACGGGAGGCAGCAGUGGGGAAUAUUGGACAAUGGGGGGAACCCUGAUCCAGCCAUGCCGCGUGUGUGAAGAAGGCCCUCGGGUUGUAAAGCACUUUCAGUGAGGAAGAACGCCUGGUGGUUAAUACCCAUCAGGAAAGACAUCACUCACAGAAGAAGCACCGGCUAACUCCGUGCCAGCAGCCGCGGGAAUACGGAGGGUGCGAGCGUUAAUCGGAAUUACUGGGCGUAAAGCGCGCGUAGGUGGCUUGAUAAGCCGGUUGUGAAAGCCCCGGGCUCAACCUGGGAACGGCAUCCGGAACUGUCAAGCUAGAGUGCAGGAGAGGAAGGUAGAAUUCCCGGUGUAGCGGUGAAAUGCGUAGAGAUCGGGAGGAAUACCAGUGGCGAAGGCGGCCUUCUGGACUGACACUGACACUGAGGUGCGAAAGCGUGGGUAGCAAACAGGAUUAGAUACCCGAGUAGUC
rnacentral:rRNA from 1 species